UUAAAAUUCGCUGAUUUGCCUUGGGUUUAAAAGUACAAUUAGAUAGGAGUUUUGUGUAACAAAAUGGAAAAGAAAAGACUAAAGAUUACAAAUGACAUCAAAAUAAUGAAGAAAAAUAGCAAAGAAAGCUGAAAUAUUUACUUCACGUACAAAAUACAAUACAAAAACAAAGGAAGUCAUAUAUACAUAAAACUAACCCUCUGCCCUUUCCCAUUUCACCUUCCUUUUCCCAACCCAUUUAUGAACAAGAUUUAUUCAAUGGUUUUUCUUCCUUUUCUUCAUUGGAUUGUGUUGUACCGUAUAGAUUAUUUGCUAAAAUGACCUAUCUUUGUAUGCCUUAACUACAUGUGGGAAACUUUUACUUUUUCAGUGGUCUUUGGGAGACCAAGAUACAAACUUCUCUGGGUCUUUCUUGAAUUUUUGAUUUUUUUUUACUUCAACCUUUUUUGGGUCUAUCAAUAGAAGUCUUCAUACCCACUUGGAUAUUGUGUUAUAAAAGGCUAAAAGAAUAAUCAAAACUAUAUAUAUAUAUUUAAUUUCUUGAAAGAUUUUUCUUUUGAUAACUGGAUUAUUUGGGCUUUUUUUUCUGUUGAAAUUUGUUUGAUAUUUUGAUUUUUGUUUUUGGAAUUGAGCAAGAAAAGAAAUUACGAGACAUGGGAAAGCAAGGACCUUGCUAUCACUGUGGUGUUACAAGUGAGUUUUGUUUUUCAGGAUGUUUCUUUAUAAUAUAUUCUUCAGAUAUUCAUGAAAUAAACGAUUUUUCAACAAUUAUUCCUAUAUUCUUUGAUCAAAAUUUCAAUUAUUGUAAGUAAUGUAUACCAGUUGAAUUGCUUGGAAAUGGAAGAGGUUAACUGGACAAUGAGAAAAUGAGUCAUAUUUGCUGUAUGCAUCUUAUUCUGUUUGCCUGGUCCUUUCCCUUUCAUUUUUAACCUUUUUUAAAAUUUUUCUGUUCUUGUAAAGCUGCGAGUAUCAAAUGAAUUUGUACUGCAAUUCCUCAAGUUUGUCAAUAAAAUGGGUCUUUUCUUUACAUUUUGUAGAUUUCCUUUCUUCCUCGGUUGAUGCUUCCUGCCCAUUGACUCGCUUGAACCAUGUAUAAACUACAGAAAUUUAGCUAAUAGGCUGUUUUCUAAUACAGUUAAAUUGUGCUUCUGGUCAAAUUUAAUCAAUGCUGUGUCAUCCUAUGUUUGUUGUCUUAGUUUCUCUGUUUAUAAUAUGAUCUGGGAAUGUAUCUCUUAAUAUUCUGUAUCCCAUAACCAUUUUCCAGCUUUGUUCUUUCUAGAUUUGACAUUCCGAUUGUCACCAGACAAGUAGUUGUGUGAUUGUGUCAAAUGACGUCCAGCGUGUGUGUGUGUGUGAUGUUCCUCUUAUCAAUCUUUGGCAAUGGGGAUUCCCAUCUUGUUCGGACCGUUAACCACAUCAUAGGCAUUUGUUAUCCUUUUUUUUUUUUUUUUUCCCACCUAUAAAUGGAGAAGCAUUUGUUUCUCUAUUAUCUGCUGCACUUUAGACAAAUUCCUCUCAAUGGAAAUUAGAAGUUCGUUUCUGUCGUAUUCAAUAUAACUUGAUCCAAACUUCUGAGUGUUGCCUUUACAACUUCUGAUUUGAUUUUCAACUGCUAAUAAUUUUGACUGCGUACUAGUAUCAUAUCAUCCAUAAGUCCUGAUUAUGUAUGUAUGCUUUGCUUCUGACCACAAAGAAAGAGGAAAUACCUAUAUUAGGUAAUUAUUGAGCUGAGAAAAAGUUUAUUCUAUCUAUUUUCAAUUUGGCUAAGCAAUCCAUUGCUGCUGCUUGAAGAAGUUUUUUAGAUCUCAGAGUGGACUCUCAUUGCCAUGUUUUAUAGAAUUAUAUUUUCAGGGGAAUUUGGGAUAAACAAGUUUUGGUUGUCAAUGUGUUGUAUGACAUGUUUAAAGAGCUGUCAAGAUAAUUACUGACGAUUUCGAUUAAAUGAAUUGACUAUAUUUUCCUAAAUGCUCAAGCACCAAAUUCCUUGGUUAUUUUUGUUUCUGAUCCCAUACUCUUGUCAAUUUGGAAAAAGAGCUACAAAUUAUACACCUUUUUGCUCAAUCUCAUCAAGAAGACUGAUGGCGUAGACUUUUCCUUGUGCUAACUUCCAAGCGUAUGCAGACAGACACCUCACAUAUAAAUUUGCCGUGUUUCUUCCUGCUUCUUCCUCCCCAUCGUCUCUUCAAAAGAAGAAUUAGUAGCGUAUCUAUAUUUAGAACUCAAAUCUGCAUUGUCAUUAUAGCCUUCUGCUCUACGUUCCCUAUAUAUAGGAUAGCAAGCUGUACCAAACUGUCAUAAAUCCUUAAAGAUGUAUGCUUUAUCUUUAGAGUGACUAUAAUCUUAAUCUCCUUUCCUUUUCUCCACAUUGAUAUAGUCAGUUUCUCGCUUUCUGUUUUACCAAUAUAAAGAAAAGCACCCUCCCUUUUGAUAUUCUAACUCAAGAAAACACCUUAAAAGAUAUUAUACCAUUACAUUCUGAAAUUUGCAGUGCAAUGUCAACCAUCCUCCAAAAAUCUUAGAAUUCUAAUUAUGAUGAAAAAGUUUUGUGCAAUAUUUCAUUAUUGCAAUUAUUUUUUACCUUCUUUGCAAUUAUUAUUUUUAAUCGUCUCCAUAUAUUGUGCUUGUUGAAAUUUAACCAAUAAUUAGUUGGCCAUGCAUGUUGAUUUGUCAUUGAGGAAUUUUCUGACGCCAGUCAUUCUUUCAUCAAAUUGCUUGACACUGAUUUGACUGCCAAUAAAUAAAUUAUGAAACAGGCACCCCUCUUUGGCGCAAUGGACCACCCGAGAAGCCAGUUCUAUGCAAUGCAUGUGGUUCUCGGUGGAGAACAAAGGGAACACUGGCAAACUAUACUCCUCUACAUGCAAGGACAGAAUCUGAUGACUAUGAGAACCCUAGGGUAUCAUCUAAGGUUGAGAAUGUAUCCAUUAAGAGUAGAAGGGAGAAAGUUCUCAAACAAAAACAAGAUAUUGAUUUUUCUGAAUUUGGAGGGUUUGCGCCUGGUCAUAACCAUGGUUUCCGUAAAGGAUUUGAUGAAGAUACAAGUAAUAGAUCAAGUUCUGGAUCUGCCAUAUCUAACCCAGAGAGCUGUGCCCAAUAUGGCAGUGCUGAUGCAAGUGAUUUAACAGGUUUGUUUGA
rnacentral:lncRNA from 1 species